rnacentral:rRNA from 1 species
AACGAACGCUGGCGGCAUGCCUAACACAUGCCAGUCGAACGAGACCUGCGGGUCUAGUGGCGCACGGGGGCGUGACGCGUGGGAACCUGCCCUGAGGUUCGGAAUAACUCGCCGAAAGGGGUGCUAAUACCGGAUAAUGUCUUCGGACCAAAGAUUUAUCGCCCUUGGAUGGGCCCGCGUUGGAUUAGCUAGUUGGUAGGGUAAACGCCUACCAAGGCGACGAGCCAUAGCUGGUCUGAGAGGAUGAUCAGCCACACUGGGACUGAGACACGGCCCAGACUCCUACGGGAGGCAGCAGUGGCGAAUAUUGGACAAUGGGCGAAAGCCUGAUCCAGCACUGCCGCGUGAGUGAUGAAGGCCUUAGGGUUGUAAAGCUAUUUUACCCGGGAUGAUAAUGACAGUACCGGGAGAAUAAGCACCGGCUAACUCCGUG